rnacentral:piRNA from 1 species
UGAGACAGGGUUUCUCUGUGGCUUUGG